rnacentral:rRNA from 1 species
AUUGAACGCUGGCGGCAGGCUUAACACAUGCAAGUCGAGCGGAGAUGAGGUGCUUGCACCUUAUCUUAGCGGCGGACGGGUGAGUAAUGCUUAGGAAUCUGCCUAUUAGUGGGGGACAACAUUCCGAAAGGAAUGAUAAUACCGCAUACGCCCUACGGGGGAAAGCAGGGGAUCUUCGGACCUUGCGCUAAUAGAUGAGCCUAAGUCGGAUUAGCGAGUUGGUGGGGUAAAGGCCUACCAAGGCGACGAUCUGUACCGGGUCUGAGAGGAAGAACCGCCAAACUGGGACUGAAACACGGCCCAAGCGCCGACGGGAGGCAGCAGUGGGGAAUAUUGGACAAUGGGCGGAAGCCUGAUCCAGCCAUGCCGCGUGUGUGAAGAAGGCCUUUUGGUUGUAAAGCACUUUAAGCGAGGAGGAGGCUACCUGGAUUAAUACUCUAGGAUAGUGGACGUUACUCGCAGAAUAAGCACCGGCUAACUCUGUGCCAGCCGCCGCCGUAACAC